rnacentral:rRNA from 1 species
AUUGAACGCUGGCGGCAGGCCUAACACAUGCAAGUCGAGCGCGAAAGGCUUUCGGGCUGAGUAGAGCGGCGGACGGGUGAGUAACGCGUAGGAAUCUACCUGGUAGUGGGGGACAACUUGGGGAAACUCAAGCUAAUACCGCAUACGCCCUAUGGGGGAAAGUGGGGGACCUUCGGGCCUCACGCUAUCAGAUGAGCCUGCGUAGGAUUAGCUAGUUGGUGAGGUAAAGGCUCACCAAGGCGACGAUCCUUAGCUGGUCUGAGAGGAUGAUCAGCCACACUGGGACUGAGACACGGCCCAGACUCCUACGGGAGGCAGCAGUGGGGAAUAUUGCGCAAUGGGGGGCAACCCUGACGCAGCCAUGCCGCGUGUGUGAAGAAGGCC